UUUUUUCCCCGAUCAAAACAGGACAUAAGCCAUUUACGCCCCCACCAGAAUCUGCUUCUGCCUUUAUUUAACUUCUCUGUUCGCAAAGAAAAACAAAUGUGUGAGGACGUGUUGACACUUGUACUUGAAUUAUCAUUAAAUCUUUAACAUCCCCUGUACACAUAAUACAUGUAGGUGUUUAGAUGUGUGUAACAACUAUGUCAGUUUGUAGGUGUAUUUCAAGGUUCCAUUGGCAUUACACUAAGGACAUUGAAAGGUGAUUGGCUAACAUGGGAUUUAUGUUUGCAGAUCACACAAUGGCUCUCUAUUUAGCCAAUAUAUUUGUUAGGCACAUGAAUCUAUACAAGGAAACAAAUCGUCCAAUAAUAGUGGUUAGUUUAUACAUAUGUACAGAAGGGAUUUUAAUCAUCUAAAUGGAUAGACAGAAAGUAUAAAGAAGCUAUGGAGAAAAAUAACACAAGAAAAGCAACUCCUUCCAAAAGUAUGCAAAAGAUUACAACAGGCUUGAGUCCAAAAUUAUUAUCAAGCAUAUUACAGUGAAUGCUUUCAUUUGAAGAAGAAAUGGGAGUGUAAAGAAGAGGCAAUACCAAAGAUAUGCAAAACCAGGAUACAAAGUCAUUGAAGUCACCCAGGAGAAUAUAAUUUGAAAAAGUCAUUUGUCAUACACACACUGUAGUCAAAAAUUAAACCACUCACAUUAUUUGCGGGGUAGACAUUUUGUGGUAUUAUCUGCCCUGGUCCAAUUUCAAAAAUGAUGUUUGCAUUUUGAUAAUGAUGUAUUGAUUUAUUUUUAAAAGCACACUUUUGAUUGAUGAUUUUUUUUUCAAUAUUUGUGAAUGGUUGUCAAUUAAAAAGCUAUUUCUUUCUAAAUUUUGACCCAGCAUAUUUAUCAAUUAAUUAAUUUGAAAAAAUAUAAUGCAAGGGUUGACACAUUUUGAUAAGUUAUCUAAAACGAUUGACAGCUAUUUUAGAUUAGUAUAAUUAUGUUACAACUUACUUGAAAAAUAUUUGAAAAUGAAAUCAGUUAUUUAGUUCGGAUAGACGGGUAGAUUGAAUUAUGGGAUCUGGUAGAUUGACCCUAAAGGAUCUGACGGGAUCACAAAGGGAUCUGGUAAAUUGGCCAAAAAGGAUUUAAAGGUAUCAUAAUUUGGCUCAUAGGUAUGAAAUUGUUUUUCAAAUGGUUCAAAACUAUUUUUAGUGAAUAUGUCAACUGUACAAAUCUAAUGGGAUAAAUUAAUUCAAAUUCAAGUGAAACUUGACAAGCAUGUUGGUUUUUAGUUACUUAAAAAGAUAAUCAAAGAAGUAAAACAAGCGAAAGAUUUUUUACGUUUUUUUUAAAGUAUACUAUUGGCAAGUAGACAAGAAACACCCCCAGUGGAUUAUUUUAGGAUAUCUCCUGUCUUACAAAAAAAGUUUUGAACAGAUACAGUGUACAUGUACUUGUGUUUUGCACAAUUGUUGCCGAUAAAAUAUUGCAUAUCUAUAGUACAAAGUACGGAAGAUUUCCUCUAAGAACAGAUAUGAUAUAUAUAUAUUAAAAUAAAUGAGCAUUAUAACAUUGAAUUCAUAAGCCUUUAUUUUAAGUAUAGUUCUGUGUGCCCGAAGUUCAUGGUAAAAUGGUAAUAGUUUAAAUAUUGUCAGUGGUUUACUGUUAUACUUUUUAUGUUCAAUGUUAUAUAUAUAUUUAUUGUACAGUAUUACAUUUUGACAAAGCUCAUUAUUAAAAUGUUAUCAAAUCUGUUUAACCUUCAACUAUUGAUUUUCUUAUCAAGAUGAUUAAAUGGAGAUCUAAGGUACACAUCAAAAACUAAAAGACAUCUAGGAUUUUACAUCCAGUUUAAAAAAAAGACAGGGUCUAAGCUAUAUGUUAAUCUUUCAUGACCCUGAGUCUAGAUUUGUUUUAGAUAGACUAAAUAGAUCUGCUAUCCACAUUAAAUCCUAUAAAUUACAUG